CCUACGGGAGGCAGCAGUGGGGAAUAUUGCACAAUGGGGGAAAGCCUGACGCAGCGACGCCGCGUGAGUGAGGAAGUAUUUCGGUAUGUAAAGCUCUAUCAGCAGGGAAGAAAAUGACGGUACCUGAUGAAGAAGCACCGGCUAACUACGUGCCAGCAGCCGCGGUAAUACGUAGGGGGGAAGCGUUAUCCGGAUUUACUGGGUGUAAAGGGAGCGUAGACGGCAGCACAAGUCUGGCGGGAAAUGCCGGGGCUUAACCCCGGAACUGCUUUGGAAACUGGGCAGCUGGAGUGCAGGAGAGGUAAGUGGAAUUCCUGGUGUAGCGGUGAAAUGCGUAGAUAUUAGGAGGAACACCAGUGGCGAAGGCGGCUUACUGGACUGUAACUGACGUGGAGGCUCGAAAGCGUGGGGAGCAAACAGGAUUAGAUACCCUUGUAGUC
rnacentral:rRNA from 1 species